GUAACAUGCCAAAAUGAACAAUAUUAGCAGUGAGUUGGGGCGGUUACACUCAUAAGACUUCUUUUGUAAAGGCUCAUUUAUGACUAUACUUACAAGAUUAAUGUUCGGAAUAGAAGCUGUAGUUGGGUUUGCAUGAGAAGGGAGGAGAGAAGAAAGAAACAAUAAUGAAAGAGGUUAUGAAAAUGAAGAAACAAAGGAAUUGUGGCCAGGUGGAUGUCGCGGCACUAAAUGUCAUCUAAGGCAAUAAAUCAAUCAAACUCUACCCCAGAUAGAAGCUACGCAAUUAUCGAUCCCAGCCAAUGAAUGCCAAUCCUUCUUUUAUUUAUAUUUACAUUCCUUCAAAUUGACAAAACCAACUUUGGGAAGCCACGCGUGACGUUAUACUCAAUGCGACUUUCUUAUUCUAUUUUCUCUCUAAUAUCUUCAAGAACUGCACAGGUGGGAGCAGACACUGAAGCUGGAAUGAAGGGGGAGAGAGAGCAGAAGAGGCAGAAGAACAGAGAUCUCAAGGAUGUGUGGACAUGUCUAGUUUUAGUUUUGGUAAGUGUAUCAGGGGGGUUCGUGAUGGGUUGGUGGGCGGUUCGGUUUCAUAGAUCACAGAAGCAACAAUGGAUGGUACCUUUUAGCCUUGUUUUGAUGAUCGCUCCCAUCUUCAUUUUGAUCUCUAUUUCCAUCUCCUGUUUCUGCACUUCCAUGGACAGAACUUCUUCUUUAGUCUCAUCCUUGGAUAAUGAUCGACCACCUGAAAUUAGAUGAUGAACAAGAUUACAUUACAUUGUCUUUUUGGGCAAAUGGGGGCUGGGAUAUUGGGGCUCCACCCCCACCAAUUCUAGGGAGACUUGCCUGCUCUAAGGCCAGUUCUAGUUGGUUUCAAGGGGACCUGCCUGCCCUAGUUGUCAUCAUUUCACCAAGAUUUACAUGUCACUACUAUAUCAUGAGAAAUUUUUGUUUUUUUUUU